GCCUCUUAUGAAGUUAGCGGCGGACGGGUGAGAUAACACGUGGGUAACCUGCCCAUAAGACUGGGAUAACUCCGGGAAACCGGGGCUAAUACCGGAUAACAUUUUGAACCGCAUGGUUCGAAAUUGAAAGGCGGCUUCGGCUGUCACUUAUGGAUGGACCCGCGUCGCAUUAGCUAGUUGGUGAGGUAACGGCUCACCAAGGCAACGAUGCGUAGCCGACCUGAGAGGGUGAUCGGCCACACUGGGACUGAGACACGGCCCAGACUCCUACGGGAGGCAGCAGUAGGGAAUCUUCCGCAAUGGACGAAAGUCUGACGGAGCAACGCCGCGUGAGUGAUGAAGGCUUUCGGGUCGUAAAACUCUGUUGUUAGGGAAGAACAAGUGCUAGUUGAAUAAGCUGGCACCUUGACGGUACCCUAAACCAUAAAGCCACGGCUAACUACGUGCCAGCCAGCCGCGGUAAAUACGUAGGUGGCAAGCGUUAUCCCGGAAAUUAUUGGGGCGUAAAAGCGCGCGGCAGGUGGUUUCUUAAGUC
rnacentral:rRNA from 1 species